UAAUAUAAUUGAAAAUGAUUAUCAAUUCCGAAAAGACAUUCCCCCCACACAUUUCGUUCUUUGAUGGAAUGAUCAUUUUCAGAAAUAUCCCCUUUUAUAUGCCCGUAAAAGACUAACGUUGCGAGUCAACGUAACAUAUCAAAUCGGUUUUACCUCGGUAAAACCGGUUUU
rnacentral:ncRNA from 1 species